CAAGCCACCCUCACAUGUGCAACGUGGCUCUCUCUGCUUCUGCCAGCCAGAGGCUCCCAUGGGCAAUUUGCCAAGCAUGGAAGGGACAGGAAGCAAAGGGGGCAUUAGGGUCUUCAGUAUUGGCUCUGGUCUAUGCGGCAGCAACUUCAAAAAACGUGGAAAAGGAAAGAUUUGGAGCUACUUUUUACUCCAUUCCCCACUGGUGGAUGAUCUUUAAGGAAUUUUGUGCCCUCCUGCCAAAGAACUGGGAAGUCUUUGGGAAAUAUCUCUAAACUACUCAGAAGUGUCCAGAUGCACAAUGUUCAGAGCAGCUCAGAUCCCCCACGCCCCUCUGAUCCCCCAGCUAGGAUGUGACCUCACCUUGGUGAACGAGCCAGCAACACAUGUGUUGAAAAGCCCCAGCAAUUUCACCCGUGGGAGACAGCAGCGAUCACCUGGGACAGUGGUAAUGCCAUGAGCCUGAGCCACAAGAUUAUAUAGGAGCAGGAGGAAACCUUUCCUGGAGAAGUGGCCUUUGAAGAGAUGGUUUUAUGCUGUAGAUGACACAAACAAGCAGCAUUACUCGGAGGAAACCUUCCCACUAACUUCCAUGGCAAUUGAAAGAGGCCUCAUCCUCCUGCUGAUCUUCCUGAGAUGCCACUGCUGAGAUAUGGU